GAUAUUUGUCAAUGGGGGGAACCCUGAACCAGCGACACCGCGUGAGGGAAGAAGGNUUNNGGAUCNUNAACCUCUGUUGUCGGNNNNNAUAAUGACGGUAUUCGAUGAGGAAGCCACGGCUAUCUACGUCCCAGAAGCCGCGGUAAUACGUAGGUGGCAAGCGUUGUCCGGAAUUACUGGGUGUAAAGGGAGCGUAGGCGGGAAGGCAAGUUGAAUGUUAAAUCUAUCGGCUCAACCGAUAGCCGCGUUCAAAACUGUCUUACUUGAGUGAAGUAGAGGCAAGCAGAAUUCCUAGUGUAGCGGUGAAAUGCGUAGAGAUUAGGAGGAAUACCAGUGGCGAAGGCGGCUUGCUGGGCUUUUACUGACGCUGAGGCUCGAAAGUGUGGGGAGCAAAAA
rnacentral:rRNA from 1 species